CGAAGCGUGCGAUUGGAUUGCACGUCUAAGCAGUAAGGCUGAGUAUUAGGCAAAUCCGGUACUCAUUAAGGCUGAGCUGUGAUGGGGAGAAGACAUUGUGUCUUCGAGUCGUUGAUUUCACACUGCCGAGAAAAGCCUCUAGAUAGAAAAUAGGUGCCCGUACCGCAAACCGACACAGGUAGUCAAGAUGAGAAUUCUAAGGUGAGCGAGCGAACUCUCGUUAAGGAACUCGGCAAAAUGACCCCGUAACUUCGGGAGAAGGGGUGCUCUUUAGGGUUAACGCCCAGAAGAGCCGCAGUGAAUAGGCCCAAGCGACUGUUUAUCAAAAACACAGGUCUCUGCUAAACCGUAAGGUGAUGUAUAGGGGCUGACGCCUGCCCGGUGCUGGAAGGUUAAGAGGAGUGGUUAGCUUCUGCGAAGCUACGAAUCGAAGCCCCAGUAAACGGCGGCCGUAACUAUAACGGUCCUAAGGUAGCGAAAUUCCUUGUCGGGUAAGUUCCGACCCGCACGAAAGGCGUAACGAUUUGGGCACUGUCUCAACGAGAGACUCGGUGAAAUCAUAGUACCUGUGAAGAUGCAGGUUACCCGCGACAGGACGGAAAGACCCCGUGGAGCUUUACUGUAGCCUGAUAUUGAAAUUCGGCACAGCUUGUACAGGAUAGGUAGGAGCCUUUGAAACGUGAGCGCUAGCUUACGUGGAGGCGCUGGUGGGAUACUACCCUAGCUGUGUUGGCUUUCUAACCCGCACCACUUAUCGUGGUGGGAGACAGUGUCAGGCGGGCAGUUUGACUGGGGCGGUCGCCUCCUAAAAGGUAACGGAGGCGCUCAAAGGUUCCCUCAGAAUGGUUGGAAAUCAUUCAUAGAGUGUAAAGGCAUAAGGGAGCUUGACUGCGAGACCUACAAGUCGAGCAGGGUCGAAAGACGGACUUAGUGAUCCGGUGGUUCCGCAUGGAAGGGCCAUCGCUCAACGGAUAAAAGCUACCCCGGGGAUAACAGGCUUAUCUCCCCCAAGAGUUCACAUCGACGGGGAGGUUUGGCACCUCGAUGUCGGCUCAUCGCAUCCUGGGGCUGUAGUCGGUCCCAAGGGUUGGGCUGUUCGCCCAUUAAAGCGGUACGCGAGCUGGGUUCAGAACGUCGUGAGACAGUUCGGUCCCUAUCCGUCGUGGGCGUAGGAAAUUUGAGAGGAGCUGUCCUUAGUACGAGAGGACCGGGAUGGACAUACCUCUGGUGUACCAGUUGUCGUGCCAACGGCAUAGCUGGGUAGCUAUGUGUGGACGGGAUAAGUGCUGAAAGCAUCUAAGCAUGAAGCCCCCCUCAAGAUGAGAUUUCCCAACUUCGGUUAUAAGAUCCCUCAAAGAUGAUGAGGUUAAUAGGUUCGAGGUGGAAGCAUGGUGACAUGUGGAGCUGACGAAUACU
rnacentral:rRNA from 1 species